CAGAGAGAAAAUAACCCUUGAGAAUGACUGGAGUUGAUUCAUCCUGUUGGGGGCAGACUGAAGAGGCCAGAGGCCAGCGCUCAGUUCCUUCUCCUGAGAGUCCCAGUACCACUGUGGAGAUUACAAAUUGUUCACCAAAAUCUGUUCUCCGUUCUUCCAUGGUAGUUGGGUACAUGGCUGAGUAUUAUUUCUUUCCUUCUGGAUCCAUUCUAAUGAGGCUUCUCUACCUCCUCAAACCAAGAAUGCUCACUGUGAUCCCAGCCAGACUCAGACCAUCAUUUCUCCAGUAUUACUGGUUACAUUACAUGGGCCUGUUCGGUGGGAGAGGAGACCACACCGAACAUGGGAACCAGGAUGAGAGAAUCAUGGGAGGUCAUCCUGGAGGCUCAGCUGCCAGGGUCAGGGCUGUGGCCUUAAAGGAGCAGCCCACCUACCACCACCACCAGAUUGUACCUACGUCAAAGACUUUGAUAGCGUUUAGGAAGGAAGCUCUGGCUUGCCGCCAUUGAUACUCAGGCAUCAACUCAUUCAUGCUGGCACCAUGUUCACAAGGCCACCAGUGGCUGGGGAGGUCUUGGGAAGACCAGUCCAGUGGAAGCCCCAGUUAAAGGUAAGAGAAGCUGCUGGGUACUCUAGAGAAGUGCUUCUCAAACCUGAAUGUGAGCAUGAACCACUUAUGGAUUUUGCUAAAAGGUUGGUUCUGGUUUGGUAGGUCUGGAGUAGGGCCUGAGAUUCCACCUUCCUCUCAAGCUAUCUGAGUGUUGCUGAUGUUGCUGGCUCGAGGACUUUAUUUGAGUAAUGAGGGGCCAGACUAGCAGUGGAUCUUCAUGCUGGCUGCAAACAAUCACCUGGUGGAGUGUUAACCAACCAAAUGCCCAUCAAUGAGAGACUGGAUAAAGCAAAUAUGGCACCUCCACCAUGGAAUACUAUGCAGCCAUAAUAAAGGAUCAUGUCCUUUGCA
rnacentral:lncRNA from 13 species